UCUCCGUUGGUGAACCAGCGGAGGGAUCAUUACAGAGUCGUCAAACACUCCCAAACAAUUGUGAACUUACCAUUUGUUGCCUCGGCGGUCCCCUGCCGGAUAGCGAGCUACCCUGUAGCGACCUACCCUGUAGCCCGUCGGUGGACAUCUAAACUCUUGUUAUACUAUUGUAAUCUGAGCGUCUUAUUUUAAUAAGUCAAAACUUUCAGCAACGGAUCUCUUGGUUCUGGCAUCGAUGAAGAACGCAGC
rnacentral:misc_RNA from 1 species